rnacentral:rRNA from 1 species
UCCUUUUGUUUAUUGAUUUAAGGUCUGACCUGCCCGAUGAGGAAUUGAAUGGCCGCAGUAUUUUAACUGUGCUAAGGUAGCAUAAUCAUUUGUCUUUUAAUUGAGGGCUGGAAUGAAGGGUUGGACGAGGUAUUAGCUUUCUUUAAUUUAGUUAGGAGAAUUUAAUUUUUGAGUUAAAAAGCUUAAAUUUAUUUGUGGGACGAGAAGACCCUAUAGAUCUUUAUAGUUUAAUAUUUUAGUAAUUUAGGGAUUUAUGUAUUUUAAGUAGAAGAACUAUUUUGUUGGGGUGACUGUAGAAUUUGAAUAACUUCUA